rnacentral:rRNA from 1 species
GACGAACGCUGGCGGCGUGCCUAAUACAUGCAAGUCGAACGAAUGGCGGACGGGUGAGUAAUGUCUGGGAAACUGCCCGAUGGAGGGGGAUAACUACUGGAAACGGUAGCUAAUACCGCAUACCAUCGGAUGUGCCCAGAUGUGAUUAGCUAGUGGGUGGGGUAACGGCUCACCUAGGCGACGAUCCCUAGCUGGUCUGAGAGGAUGACCAGCAAAACUGGAACUGGAACACGGUCCAGACUCCUACGGGAGGCAGCAGGGGGGAAUAUUGCACAAUGGGCGCAAGCCUGAGACAGCCAUGCCGCGUGGAUGAAGAAGGCCUUCGGGUUGUAAAGUACUUUCAGCGAGGAGGCGUUACUCGCAGAAGAAGCACCGGCUAACUCCGUGCCAGCAGCCGCGGUAAUUC